rnacentral:tRNA from 1 species
GCAGUGGUAGUUCAGUGGUAGAAUUCUUGCCUUCCACGUGGGAGACUUGGGUUCAACUCCCAGCUAACGUG